UGCGUUUGAUUUCAGCUCUAAUGCCCAAGAAGUUUCCGAUUUGACGAUUUGGGUGUCCGUGUGGGUGGGUGUAGAGAAAACCCAUGGGCCAAAACCGCCAUUAGCGGUCUGCUUUCUCAUCUUCCCUACGUUUGGAUGAAGGGUGAGCUGCAGAAUGACCGGCAGGCCAUCCAGUGGGCCACCGACUACCACCUCAAAGCUACUGCGCACCCAGGCACCAUUUAUAUUCAGGUGUGGAGGCUAUAAGCUGAAGUGGCAUUUGGAAGAAGGAUUGGCGGCUCUGGUUCCAUUUGUUUGGAUGUGAGUAGUCAGUGAGGGACUAGAGUCUUCAGAGGUAUAUGCUGGUUAAGAGGGACUGAGAUACUCAGGGAGUCAUGGGGAGAGGACGAACUUGCUUGCGGCUAACAAAAUUGGAUAUUUUGGUCGUGGCAUAGGAUUUAAGGAUGUAUUAGUAUUUUCACAUCAACUUUUGGUUAUAAUUGCCUCGCUCGCCUUGGCCGACGAGACACUCCCUGGAAAGAGAUGUGGAGCUAUCCAUGCCCGCCGUGAGGGCUUUGAUAAAGUGGUGGGGUUUUGUGAUUUGGAGGAUUGGGGCAAUAUCAAAUUGGGGUUGGAGACGUUGCUCAAUUCUCCGUCGAUAGGCGGCCCAAGGUCCAGAAAUGUUCUCAAGUUUGUCUUGCUUCAGUCCCGCACCGUUAUCAAGGAAGUUAGCAAGUUGAUACUGUCUAAGUUCAAAGGAUAGAUGCCUUUGGCAGUCGAAUUAAGUGCUUCACAGACUUCAGAUGGACCUAAAAAUCUUGAGGUCCUUCACAUGCUAAAUGUGGUGAAACUUACUGUUCCCUUUCUAUCAAAGAAAGUCGGUUCAAAAAUUCUUUCAGAAAUAAAUAAGCUUGUGGUUUCACGGUUCUUCAACACUCACAAGGCAUGUACUCCAAAUUAUUGAAGCAUUGUUUGAGAGCUCAAGAGUUAAUGCCAUUGUUUC
rnacentral:sRNA from 1 species